GACAACAGCUCAAAUUUGAAAUCUGGCCCCUCGGGCCCGAGUUGUAAUUUGUAGAGGANGCUUUUGGUGCGGUGCCGCCCGAGUUCCCUGGAACGGGACGCCAUAGAGGGUGAGAGCCCCGUCUGGCUGGCCACCAAGCCUCUGUAAAGCUCCUUCGACGAGUCGAGUAGUUUGGGAAUGCUGCUCUAAAUGGGAGGUAUAUGUCUUCUAAAGCUAAAUAUUGGCCAGAGACCGAUAGCGCACAAGUAGAGUGAUCGAAAGAUGAAAAGCACUUUGAAAAGAGGGUUAAAUAGUACGUGAAAUUGUUGAAAGGGAAGCGCUCAUGACCAGACUUGGGCUUGGCGAAUCAUCCAGCGUUCUCGCUGGUGCACUUUGCCUUGCCCAGGCCAGCAUCAGUUCGUCGCGGGGGAUAAAGGUUUCGGGAACGUGGCUCCUCCGGGAGUGUUAUAGCCCGUUGCGUAAUACCCUGCGGUGGACUGAGGUUCGCGCAUCUGCAAGGAUGCUGGCGUAAUGGUCAUCAGCGACCCGUCUUGA
rnacentral:rRNA from 1 species